ACGACUCUCAGCAACGGAUAUCUUGGCUCUUGCAACGAUGAAGAACGUAGCGAAAUGCGAUACCUAGUGUGAAUUGCAGAAUUCAGCAAAUCAUCGAGUCUUUGAACGCAAGUUGCGCCCGAGGCUUGUCCCGAGGGCAUGCCUGCCUGAGCGUCACC
rnacentral:rRNA from 1 species